UACCACAUUGGAACUUAAGAAGUCGAUCGAUGGUGGAAGAACCAUCCAACUGCUGGCUUUAAAAUACACAUGUCGAAGACGGGAAAUUAACGGACGGGAAAGAAUUGGCAUAACGAUUGAAUUGGGAAAUGCUGAGUGGCAUUUACGGCAUAAUCACGGAAGAUAGCUGGCCUUAUUGAAUGAAGUUAUAAUAUCUAAUACAACGUAUUUAUAGUUAAAACAAUUCGAAGAAACCUAACCAAGCAAGAAAGUAAAAAGUAAAUAUAAAUAAAUGAUUCUUUUAAGUCUU